AUUAAUAGAUAUAUUCUUUAAAUUUGAAGAAUUUGGCGGUGAUUUAGUCUUGUCAGAGGAACCUGUUUUUAAAUCGAUAAACCACGAAGAAUCUUACUUGGUUUUGUUUUUAGUUUGUAUACCAUCAUUAUUAGAUAAUUUUUAUAGAAUAAAUUAUUGAAUUAUAAAUUAGUAAUAUUAAUAAAAUUAGAUCAAGGUGCAGCUGAUAGUCAAGUUAAAAUGGGUUACAAUAGGUAUAAACCUAUUACGGAGGAUAAAAUGAAAUAAAUUUAGAAGGAGGAUUUGAUUGUAGAGAGAAUUUAAUAUGUUCUUUAGAUAUAAGCUCUAAAUCAU
rnacentral:rRNA from 1 species